AUUUGGGUCAGGCAGGCUGAGGGGUGGUUUCUCACCUGCAGCUUGUUGUGGGGUGAUGCCCUGCACCUGCUCUGCAGCAACUGCACGAGAAGCAGGGUGAGGGGAAAGCUGCUCUGGCUGAGGCUGUUGAGUUAAGGCAAGGUAGAGAAAGGAAAUGUAGCUUUCUGUAUUGGAUUUUAGCCAGGAUGCUGAAGUUAAACAUCUGGUUAAUUAAUAAAAAGAGCUGCAACAGCACUAUGCUUGCUACAGCCAUGCUGGGACACUGGAAUUGUUGUUCUUUUGUGAUCGCGAGCCUGGGUCUUCCAUUACAAUUGCACUGCCACGAGUGCCAAGACUGUGCCUGGAAAGUGGCUCAGCUGACUCUUGAACAGUAGCUGCUGCUUUUCCUGGGGAGUUGGAAACCAGGCUGCCUCCGCAGCAGGCUCGCUGCCGGGUCCAGGCAGUGCCGCACUCAGACUGAGCCUCAAAACACGGUUUGCAAAUGAGAGAGAUGGGAAAGACAGGAGCAAGUAGCAGCAGUAGGAAUUUGAAUCCGCCCCAAAGACCACUUAGAUCUCCGGUUUCAGAGAAUGACAAGCAGAGUCUACCUCGGCUUCCAUCAUGAAUAUUAAGCAAAUGAAGUCUGGAAAGCUACCUCCACUACCUGACAUAACAGUGUAACAGCCCUGAAGUGGCAGCUCUGAAAAGAGAAAACCAGGAUGGCCAGACAAACCUGGGAACAAGUUCGUACAGGCUGGAGUGUCUGGAGGAAUCGGCCCUGCAGACCAGACAAGGAGGCAAGCAGGUGGAUUGCAAGGAAAUGACAGCAAGGCAUGUUCUGGGAGCACAGUCCUCUGCGUACAAGACACCUGUGAGCAUGCGUAGGAGCAGACCACCGUCUGAAAAUGAAGCCAGGGAACAGACUGUGUUUGCAGAGACCUCCCAACAGGACAGCCUGGAAAUGUCAGAGCUCCUUUCCCUUGCAGCCUGUUCUCGGGGAGUGCAGGAAGAAGCUCCGUCAGGCCCCGGGCUGCUGUAAGGAGGGUGCUGUCAUGCAGGAAAUCUUGGCAGAAGCCUUCCUUCACUGAACCCUCUCCCAGCACCACACAACCAGCCCAGCCAAGUGAGUGACAGCCACUAACAGGCCAUCUCCAGCCUGGCCCAGGUCCGACUCGCUGUGUGAGCCAAUGCUCGCUGUCACUGUGCUGCAUUACCUAGGCAGAGCCAGACAGGUGGCGUUGGCAAGAAACCAAGGAAGAAAAACACUUCAUUCCCAGGGAGCAAUCUUCCAUCUGAGAUGGCACGUGAUGCAAGGUGCAGUGCGUGUUGGCCGUGAGAUGAGAUGUGCCUUAUAACAGUUUCCAAAGUUUUGGAACUAGCUCAGACUUGAAAUCCAGAGAAAUUUGGUUAACUUGUUCUGUUUUGUCUGAGUAGCGCUAUUUUUUUUCUGUGUCUUUCGGCUUCAUCUCCUGUUGGGAGUGCUGAAAUUCCGUCACAAAAGCUGCAUCAUCACUUGGCUUUUUAUUAUAGUUUUUCAGCACUACAUGACUGCUACUGCAUCUCCAGCCAUGCUGGAAAUGGGAAGAAACAACCAACAGCUCUUUAGAUAAUGCAAAAAGACCAUGCCUUCCUGCUAGCAGCCAGCUGUGCCUGCAUUUCCCCUCUCCUCCAGCGAGAUACUGAUGCUGCUGCAAGACUAGAGAUUAACUGGAGGUCCCCUUUAACUUCAGGAAGACUAUUUGCAAUGAGAGAUAUUUUUCAGAGUGAACGAGGGAGAGAGCUCCCUUGAGGGGUCCCUAAUACCUCUCCGUGCAUUUACCAGUCCUCAGUAAUCUCUCCUCUGCAGGCCUGUCCUACCCAACCCUGCUUAGCUGGUAAUUGCUGAAGGAAUCAAAACACAAGGUAUGGCAGCUGCAGGCAUCCAGUGGAAAAAAAAAAUCCCCACAUGCACAUGCACAAGUGUAAAAGAGAGACAGAAGGAGAGAAAGCACAUUAAAGGAAAGACAACAUUUGCAGCAGGCUGGUGUGUCCUUGACCGAAGGAGACAUCAAAGACAGCUUCAGUGAUUUACUCUUUGACAGGCUGGCAUCUCUGUGAUUCACGGAGCUAAUCAAUUAGGUGAUACAUUCCCCCUCCCCACCGCCCCUUUAUUUUUAACAGCUUCUUGCCAAGAGUGGAAAUGCUCCAGAACUGAAUGGGGACCAGCGUCCUGACCAUGCUUCAGGAGCUGACAGGCACCAGCCCAGCAGGUCUGAAAGGGGAUCAGGACACUGCCAAAGGGGAUUUGCCACGGCGGCCAGGAGCAGUUUAGCCCCCUUUGGAAGUGGAUGCCACAUUUUCCUGGGUCAUAUGACACAGAUGAUGUCGCAGAGUUUCAUAGCCCCUCCAUUUAGUUGGCUAUAUGUCCAUCCCUGCCUCCCCAGUUCUGUGCCACGUGAAGGCUUUAAAAGCCUUCCAGCACUUGAGUCCUUCAGCCAUGUGCAAACAGAGCCUUGCCCUUCAGAUUUCUCAGAUUGUUGGCUGUCCUGUUGCAAAAUGAGAGACACAGUCACAGCAGAGCUCUUCUUAGUGAGGAGCAAGUCCUGGGAGGCACAUAGGCUGGGAAAUGCACCACAAGAGUCUUGUGGGACUGAGCACUGCAGCUGGCGAAGUACUGCAGAAAGCAGCCUGCAUUUAAUGCUUGUGUUUCCUGUCCUAACGAGAAGCUGCAGAAAUCUGGCCACAAUAUGGUACAGUCAGGGAGAUGGGAGCAGUUGUUGGGGUUCAGGGAAUAAACCCCAACACACAUGGGAUGUUCUGAAGCCCACGGUCAUCCCAAGAUGGAAACCUUUCCAGGGACACACAUGGGGACAAAACCACUGAGUCACAGCCAGAAUGUGAACGAGCGAGUGAGUGGUGGGAUGCUGAGCCAGCCAUAUCAGCACUUGCACUGUUUAAAAUUUCAUUGAAGAUAAUAUCAGAAAUCUCUAUCCUUUUUACCUGCACGUCUUUUCUUCUGAACAUGGCCACUGUAGUGCUUCCCACAUGAAUAUGCAGCAGGAAUGAGUCUGAGCAGUCACAAAUCACAAAGAGAAAGCAAUAGCACUGCAUUGAUGUAAAUCCAGGUUCGGGAAAAAGGCCCAGUUACUCCUGAAAGAAUGGGGAUUUUUCCCUACUUGUCUCAAGAGCCAUGACCUGUACUGGUGCUUGAUGGAAACUAUUUCAGGGUAAGUCUUGAUGAAUUUUUCACGAUUGAUCUUUCUAGAAGAAGCAGGAUGCUAACAAGGAAGAGAGGACAGUAUUGUGCACUGGAGAGCAACAUCUGAUGGAGAUUUGUAGGAGAAUUUGGGAGUUCACACAAGUGUUAGUCCUGCUUCUUAACAUCACGAGACAUAACAGUUGCAUGAAGAAAUUCUCUCCUCUGGGUUCAUACUGAAGAUUCCUCUUAUGUCUCACUUUGUCACAUUGGGAACAGAGGAUGCAGGCAAAAACCUGACAGUCUUACCCCAUGCUACCCCUCAUAGCACAGACUGCCCCAAGGAUGUUGGGGCACACCAGCUGAGCCCUUGCUCCUGCCUCCCUAGAAGAGUCCCCUGUGAAAACAGAGACAUUGUUGAAUAUUCUCUGAUUUGCUCUGGAUGAAAUCUCUCAUCAGAUCCUGCUGCUCUUCAUGGCAAAAUACCCGCAGGCAACAGAGUCCAAUUUUUACCCGUUCAGCUUCAGGCAUAAAUUUGCUGUCUUCAAAGUGGAAACAGGAUCAGAUGGCAGAGAGA